UAGGUGAGCCUUGAGCAAAAGAUAAUUUCAUUGCCCAACUCUAUCAAGUCACCUAGAGGCUGCCAUCGACACUCACCACUGAUAUGGAUGCAUUGAAGCGGACUUAUGUUGGUUUUUAUUCCACUUGGUAUUUUGCCUGGUUGACCUGCUUGAACCAUCUGCACCCUACUGAGCACUGGCUGCUGCUGGCUUGGAGUUCCUGCCAUCUGUACUUGCUGUAGUCCUUCUUUUUGCCUCAGUCUCCCACAGUGCUGAGAUUAAAAGUGUGUACCUCCAUGCUCAACUCUGAUUUUUAAUUAUUGCAUCUUAUUCUAUUAAAAUAUAACCAACAUAAAAUCAGAAAUCAUGUCUGUCUUCACUAUAUUUCCAAUAUUUAAUUCAGUCCUUAAUAUGAAGUAGUUGCUCGGUAGAUUUUCUGGAUGGAUGGAAAUCUAGAUGAAUAGAUUGAUGAAAAGAAGGGAUGGGUUGGUGGGUGGAUGUUUGGAUGAUGGAAGAACAGAUGAUCCAGUAGGAAGUAAGAAUAACUGCAGGAAUGAGAAAGUUGUGCUCCAUAAAUAUUUUCUGGAUAAUUGGAUGCACGGAUACGUUGGUGGCUGGGUGCAAUGAUGGGCGAAAAAGAAUACUUGAUUGGAGGUAAGCCUGGAUGAAGAGCCUCAAGUGGAGGGUUAGAAUUUCAGCUCCUCUUUCCCAGGGGGCGCUGCGGGGCCACUCGCACGGGCCUGGCCUGGCAGAGAGGCGCCGCUCUAGGCUGUAGCCGACGCGAGGCCGCAGUUCCGCAGAGACUGCGGAGCGAGAACUCAGUCCUCCUGCUCCGUCCCGGUCUACAGCCUGUACUCAUGCUGUGCUCUGUGUACCCUGCUGCCUUCCGUCCCGGCAUCCGGCUAAGUCACUCAGGGCGUGCUCUGCGCAAGGCUCCCAAGUACGGCGCAGGGAAACUGAAGCAUCUACUCGCCGGGGCCUCAGCCUCCCGCGGCUCGCGUGUUCCAGGCCUUGGUCGCUCCGGGCUGACCGUCCCUGAGCGGUGUCAGAGGCGCCUUUGCCUCCCGAGGUCACCCUGUCUGGUCGGAGACCACACGCCCCCCGUGGUCUCUCACGCCCGCUUCCCGGCCUCGGAGCUGUGGCAUUCUAAGCCCGGAAUUUACUUGUCGCUUGUCGACACGGGGUCUGUGUUGUGUUGUGUCCUAGAUCAGUUGACUGAUUUUCACCAAAAGCCUUCCAAAGCCAGGUCUAAAACUUCCUUUUGCACAAUCUGGCCGAGGUUUCGGUUGAAGACUCUCCCGAGGCCGUAGGGUACAGCGUCCAAACUGCCCUCUCUUGCACUGAAGCCCCUUCCUCUUCUUUCCCCUGCUUAGACCUUGCUGUUGAGCCCAAUGGAAACUACCCUGUGGCGGCGCUGCCGGUUCUGCAACAGCCAGCGCCCCUGCUCUCCCCGCCCCACGGACCGGAUGUCCCGAGGUGACAACUUGGUGUAAAUGGGUCAUGAGAGGUGUCCAUCUUGCCAGGAAGCAGCUGGACCAUGGUGCUCCUGAGUGAGGUGUGUUCCCUGGAGGUUGGAGACUUCUGGAGAUUUCAACUGUGAUGUGGUCCAGAAAGCAGAUGGACGUGAGAUGAAGGCACCAUCAUCCUGGCCCCUGGUUUACCCUCCCUGGGGCUUUGAGAUGCAUGUGAUUCCCUUUGGUGUGCAGGUUUGGGUCUGGAAUCAAUAGGGAUCCCUUCCUUCCUUGGGUGUGUUGGCAACAGAAUGUCUGAGUCAAAAGCAGAAAGGAUUUCUCACCUAUACUCAGGUCUUAGCUACUUUGUUUUUGCUUCCUAGCUUUGGGACCUUUUCUCAUCCUCAUUUUCAUCCACUAGAAAGCAGGGAUAUGAUGAGACAGGGUUUUUGGGGUCACAACUCCCUGUUUUCCCUCAAUGUAAGAACUUCUAUCAGCUAGCUAGCUUGCUUUCUUUCUUUCUUUCUUUCUUUCUUUUCUUUCUUUUCUUUCUUUCUUUCUUUUUUGUAGUUUAUUUGAGACACGGUCUCUCUUAUGUAGUUCAGGCUGGCCUUGAACUCACUUUGUAGCCAGGCUGGCCUCCAACCCAUGGCAAUACUCCUGCCUCAGGCUCCCAAGUGCUGGGAUUACAAGCAUGAACAUGCCUAGCUCUCCAACAGUUUUCUUUAGAGGUGUCUUUCUUUUGCCUCCCCUGUAGGGCCACGUUGAAGGAACUUUUGUAGAGUUAGAAACAAUUGUUGUGUCCUUGUGUUUAGUUGGGCUGGCUGCUCAAAGCUUCUGCCACUGGUCUCCUUUUAAAAAACAGCAAGCCCUCUGACCUUUUCUGCCCCUGCAUUCGUAAGUGAUCAGGGGGUGCCCAUUCCCUGGUCAUUGGUAUUGCAGGCAGAGGAAAUACGGAAAGAAUUGUCCUGUGUUUGGAGGGUCUGCGUGCUUGCCUUCCAGUGCUAGGAGCUUUCCCACACUCUUGCUUCUCAUCAUACAGCUUGGGCUUUGGAGCUGCUAUGUGAGCAUUACUGUCAUUGUUGGAACUUUCACUUCCUGCCCCCUGCUUUUGGGAACUAGGCCAUGUGUGUUGCUUAAGUUCCCCUUGACAGCCAGCAGAGUCACUACCACUCAGCCAAUCUGUGGUUAUGUAUUAAUCAGUAUUAGCUACCCUGCCAUAGGCCAUCUCUCUCUCUUUAGUUAACUCUUAUUUUCAUAAAGAAAUAUUGUGUUUGCUUAGGAAGUAAUAGUCACUGCGUUUGGAAUGCCUACUGUCUGGUAACUACUAUGUUAAUUCUUUUCCUGGUGGCUUUCAUGUCCAUGCUGCUGGAUGCUCACCAAUUAUUCCUGUCUCUUGCAGGUGUCCCGGAGUUGUCCUGUCAGGAACACCUUAGACCCCAGUGUCAUUGAGGGAUGCUGCGCUGGAACUGGAGAUUGCUGAAGGAAGGCCCUGGAAUAGAGGCACUGACCCUGUCAGGAUGAUGAAUGGGGUUCCUGCUCUGAAGGGAUCUCCUCAUGUUGGUUGUGGUGUUGAUUGUGGACACUGGCAUAGCAGAGUGAAGAGUGUCAUUGUCACACGACGCAUUCCAGACCUUAGUGCAGUGGCCUCAGCACAACACAGAGCACCUUUUUACUCUGCAUGAGCAAGCGGAGGGGAAGGCCUGGACUCUGAGGACUUGGGGUCCAGAGGUGGAGACCUUCCAGCUGGUUCUACCCCAUCCCAGCAGAGCCACAGAGCAUCAUAGACGGGAAGACCAGUCUUCCUUCAACUGGCCACCUCCCAGUCUUGCCUACUCCUGGUGUAACUUGUAGACCCAAGAGAUCCUGGUGAAGUUUUCUAUACCCUGCACAACCUCAAUAAAUUGUCCACCUCAAUAAAUUUUGAAACAUGCUGUGCUGUGUAUUUUUUGGGUUUUGUUUGUUUACCAAAAUACCCAUGUGUACCAGCUAGGCUGGGUAUAGAGAAGGUAGUCACAGGGUGAAUCUUCCAGUUUUCACUUACUGAGAAUUCCCACUUAGCAUGCUCCUAAGUGGGAUGUGACCUAGGGAAUUUGAGGUAGGAGGUAGGAUUUGGACUAGAGGUUGAACAAUGCCACAUGCAUCUGGGGGCUCAGGCUUAGGAGAGAAAGAGAACUGUUAAAACUAAGUUGCCUGAGCAACAUUUGGGCCAGGGAUUUGGAAGAGAAGAUGAUAAUGG
ensembl:lncRNA